GUUCCAUUGCCGCAUUGGUUAGUGUAGCUUCUAAACCGUUCCCAAGCUUCACUAAAGCUCUCGUUAUUGUGCUGCGUGAAACUUGAGAUCUGAUUCCUGAGCUU
rfam:Eutrema salsugineum unplaced genomic scaffold scaffold_12, whole genome shotgun sequence.